CCCUUAGAUGUCCUGGGCCGCACGCGCGUUACACUGAUGCAUUCAACGAGCUUAUAACCUUGGCCGAGAGGCCUGGACAAUCUUGUUAACGUGCAUCGCGAUAGGGAUAGAUUAUUGAAAUUAUUAAUCUUGAACGAGGAAUUCCUAGUAAACGCAGAUCAUCAAUCUGCAUUGAUUACGUCCCUGCCCUUUGUACACACCGCCCGUCGCACCUACCGAUUGGAUGGUCCGGUGAAGCCUCGGGAUUGUGGUUCUUGCCGCUUUAUUGUGGCGUGACCGCGAGAACUUGUCUAAACCUUAUCAUCUAGAGGAAGGUGAAGUCGUAACA
rnacentral:rRNA from 1 species